rnacentral:rRNA from 1 species
GGGGAAUAUUGGGCAAUGGGCGAAAGCCUGACCCAGCAACGCCGCGUGAGGGAAGAAGGUUUUCGGAUUGUAAACCUCUGUCCUUGGGGACGAAAAAAAUGACGGUACCCAAGGAGGAAGCCCCGGCUAACUACGUGCCAGCAGCCGCGGUAAUACGUAGGGGGCGAGCGUUGUCCGGAAUUACUGGGCGUAAAGGGUGCGUAGGCGGUUAUUUAAGUCAGAUGUGAAAUCCCCGGGCUCAACUCGGGUGGUGCAUUUGAAACUGGGUAACUAGAGUGCAGGAGAGGGAAGCGGAAUUCCUAGUGUAGCGGUGAAAUGCGUAGAUAUUAGGAGGAACACCAGUGGCGAAGGCGGCUUUCUGGACUGUAACUGACGCUGAGGCACGAAAGCGUGGGGAGCAAAC